AACAUACACAAAACAUCUUGGGCUAUUCAAUAUAGUGCUAGAAGUUCUAUUCAGUGCAAUAAGGCAAGAAAAAAAGUAAAAGCCAUACAGAUUGAAAAGAAAUAAAUAAAACUGUCCCUAUUUGUAGAUACCCUGAUUCUGUUGAAUUCCUAAGGUAUUUACAACAAAGCAAAACAAAACAAAAUUCAAUAAGGUAAAUACUCAAGGUAUUUACAAAAAAAAUGCGGUCACAGGAUAUAAGAUCAACACACACGUAAUAACUGUAUUUCAAAAUAUUAGCAAUGAACACAUGGAUGCUGAAAUAAAAAACAAUAUCAUUGUCAAUUUCUUGAAAAUAAUGAAAAACUUAAGUGUAAAUCUAAUAAAACACAUAUAGGAUGCAUA
rnacentral:lncRNA from 1 species